UUGUUUAUAGUUACUUAUUUAAUGUUUGUGCUUUAUUAUUACCUAUUUUACUUGAUUUCAAUUAUGUAUAAGUUUCUUUUUAAUGUUUAUACUAACUAUAAUUUCAUUUUGUUAAAUUGUUUAUAGUUACUUAUUUAAUGUUUGUGCUUUAUUAUUAGCUAUUUUACUUGAUUUCAAUUAUGUAUAAGCUUCUUUUUAAUUAUGUUGUUUGCUAGUAAAUUUACUUAUUUGUGAUAUACAAUUAUGUUAUACAUGUUUUCAUAUGAGAUUAUUCCUAAGUAUAUGUAUCUAUAUGUUACAAUUGUGAAGCCGGGUGUUAUCUACUACCCCGUGCUUAAGUGA
rnacentral:lncRNA from 1 species